UUUUCAAGGUGGCAUUGGACGUCAAAAGAGAACUCAUACAGUUGGUGUUGUCAUCACCUUCGUCUCUGCUAACCAAAUAGAGACUGGAGUUGAAUAGCAACACAAGAUAU